GGUGCGUGUGUGUGUGUGCGUGUGCGUGUGUCUGCGCGAGAGAGGGGUUUCUCAACACCAGCGUCUACAACACAACUUGAGAAGCAGUUGGUCCAACAGAGAGCGAACGGUCAGGCCUAUAAUUGCUCAGAACACAGCUUCCAACAAUCGCCAGGUUAGCGGUGGCACAUUGUUAUUGACAGGUUGUGUAGGCUAGGUGAGAACUCCGCGCUUUGGACUUCUGCAUAAUCUCAGUCCUGCUAUAAGUAUAUUUCGGUUACAUUUUUUCCUUGUGCACCGCUGUACGUGGAUAAGCAACUUUUGUAAGUCGCAAGUGAUAGUUUCUCUCAGUGGACGUGCUGAAUUCAGAAUUUUCUCCUUUUUUCCUCAAGUGCAUAAUACUUAUUUAUUUCCAUUGAUGUGACGGAUACGUGACUCAACUGGCUGAGACUGCUUUUUACUGUGAACUUGUGAUAUACAGCCCAAAGGCGUUCAUUCACUUCGGGAGUCGAGUUGAGUACUAAGACAGGUUCAACACUGAAUGAUAUGGUUAUCUAAGUCAAGGGCUCAAGGCACGCCUGCUUUUGUCUGCCACUUAUUCGGGCACAAGAUGGCUUACUUCCUGACAUGGGCAACGUUGUCCUUUCUGUGCCUGUGUGUGGCUGCUCAAGGUGAGGUGGUCCCAACAAGCGGAGUGGGGCCCUCACAAGAAGAAUCAGAUUCCUGUAAGUUUUGACAAUGACA